UAGGCGUAACCCAUGCAAGUUGAGCGAGGUAGUGAUACAUAGCGGCGGUCGGGUGAGUCACGCGUGGGAAUGUACCCUUUGGUUCGGAAUAGCGUUGGGAAACUGGGAGUAAUACCGGAUGCGGUCGAGAGACGAAAGAUUUAUGGCUGAAGGAUCGGCCCGGGUUGGAUUAGGUAGUUGGUGGGGUAAUGGCCUACCAAGCUCGGGUAUCUAUAGCUGGUUUGAGAGGAUGAUCGGCCACACUGGGACUGAGACACGGCCCAGACUCCUACGGGAGGCAGCAGUGGGGAAUCUUAAAGAAUGGGCGCAAGCCUGAUCUAGCCAUGCCGCGUUUUAAGGGAGGCCUUAGGGUUGUAAGGCUCUUCAGGGGGGAAGAUAAUG
rnacentral:rRNA from 1 species